AUUGAACGCUGGCGGCAGGCCUAACACAUGCAAGUCGAACGAGUGGCGGACGGGUGAGUAAUGUCUGGGAAACUGCCUGAUGGAGGGGGAUAACUACUGGAAACGGUAGCUAAUACCGCAUACCAUCAGAUGUGCCCAGAUGGGAUUAGCUAGUAGGUGGGGUAACGGCUCACCUAGGCGACGAUCCCUAGCUGGUCUGAGAGGAUGACCAGCCACAUGGGAACGUAGACACGUGCCAGACGCCUACGGGAGGCAGCAGUGGGGAAUAUUGCACAAUGGGCGAAAGCCUGAUGCAUCCAGGCCGCGUGUAUGAAGAAGGCCUUCGGGUUGUAAAGUACUUUCAGCGGGGAGGCGUUACCCGCAGAAGAAGCACCGGCUAACUCCGUGCCAGCAGCCGCGGUAAUAC
rnacentral:rRNA from 1 species